UACGUAGGGACCAAGCGUUGUUCGGAUUUACUGGGCGUAAAGCGCACGUAGGCGGAUUGUUAAGUCAGGGGUGAAAUCCCGGAGCUCAACUCCGGAACUGCCUUUGAUACUGGCAAUCUUGAGGCUGGAAGAGGUUGGUAGAAUUCCCCAGUGUAGAGGUGAAAUUCGUAGAUAUUGGGAAGAAUACCAGUGGCGAAGGCGGCCAACUGGUCCAGAUCUGACGCUGAGGUGCGAAAGCGUGGGGGAGCAAACAGG
rnacentral:rRNA from 1 species